AACGAACGCUGGCGGCAGGCUUAACACAUGCAAGUCGAACGGGUGUAGCAAUACAUCAGUGGCAGACGGGUGAGUAACACGUGGGAACCUUCCUAGAGGUACGGAACAACUCAGGGAAACUUGAGCUAAUACCGUAUACGCUCUUGCGAGGAAAGAUUUAUCGCCUUUAGACGGGCCCGCGUCGGAUUAGCUAGUUGGUGGGGUAACGGCCUACCAAGGCGACGAUCCGUAGCUGAUCUGAGAGGAUGAUCAGCCACACUGGGACUGAGACACGGCCCAGACUCCUACGGGAGGCAGCAGUGGGGAAUCUUGGACAAUGGGCGCAAGCCUGAUCCAGCCAUGCCGCGUGAGUGAAGAA
rnacentral:rRNA from 1 species